GGAUCCGUAGCUCAGUGGUAGAGCAUUCGAUUCACAUUCGAAAGGUCAGAGGUUCGACACCUCUCGGGUCCACAA
rnacentral:tRNA from 1 species